rnacentral:rRNA from 1 species
AUUGAACGCUGGCGGCAGGCCUAACACAUGCAAGUCGAGCGGAUGAAGGGAGCUUGCUCCUGGAUUCAGCGGCGGACGGGUGAGUAAUGCCUAGGAAUCUGCCUGGUAGUGGGGGAUAACGUCCGGAAACGGGCGCUAAUACCGCAUACGUCCUGAGGGAGAAAGUGGGGGAUCUUCGGACCUCACGCUAUCAGAUGAGCCUAGGUCGGAUUAGCUAGUUGGUGGGGUAAAGGCCUACCAAGGCGGCGUUCCGUAACUGGUCUGAGAGGAUGAUCAGUCACACUGGAACUGAGACACGGUCCAGACUCCUACGGGAGGCAGCAGUGGGGAAUAUUGGACAAUGGGCGAAAGCCUGAUCCAGCCAUGCCGCGUGUGUGAAGAAGGUCUUCGGAUUGUAAAGCACUUUAAGUUGGGAGGAAGGGCAGUAAGUUAAUACCUUGCUGUUUUGACGUUACCAACAGAAUAAGCACCGGCUAACUUCGUG